rnacentral:rRNA from 1 species
AUUGAACGCUGGCGGAAUGCUUUACACAAGCAAGUCGAACGGCAGCCCGGGAGCUUGCUCCUGGUGGCGAGUGGCGAACGGGUGAGUAACAUAUCGGAACGUAACCAAUAAUGGGGGAUAACUAAGCGAAAGCUUGGCUAAUACCGCAUACGCCAUGAGGGGGAAGGCUAGGGAUCUUCGGACCUGGCGUUAAUGGAGUGGCCGAUAUCUGAUUAGCUAGUUGGUGAGGUAAAGGCUCACCAAGGCGACGAUCAGUAGCUGGUCUGAGAGGACGACCAGCUACACUGGAACUGAGACACGGUCCAGACUCCUACGGGAGGCAGCAGUGGGGAAUUUUGGACAAUGGGCGCAAGCCUGAUCCAGCCAUUCCGCGUGAGUGAAGAAGGCCUUCGGGUUGUAAAGCUCUUUCGCAAGGGAAGAAAGAUUACGCUCUAACAUAGCGUGAUUAUGACGGUACCCUGAUAAGAAGCACCGGCUAACUACGUGCCAGCAGCCGCAGUAAUAC